rnacentral:rRNA from 1 species
AGAGGUGGCAAGCGUUGUUCGGAUUCAUUGGGUGUAAAGGGCAGGUAGGUGGCUAUGUAAGUCCGGUGUGAAAUCCCAGAGCUCAACUCUGGAACUGCAUUGGAAACUACAUGGCUUGAGUACCGGAGAGGUGAGGGGAAUUCUCGGUGUAAGGGUGAAAUCUGUAGAUAUCGAGAGGAACACCAGUGGCGAAGGCGCCUCACUGGCCGGUAACUGACACUGAGCUGCGAAAGCAAGGGGAGCAAACAGGAUUAGAUACCCUGGUAGUCCUUGCCGUAAACGAUGUGGAUUAGGUGUCGGGGGUGUCGAUCCCUCCGGCGCCGACGCUAACGCAUUAAAUCCACCACCUGGGGAGUACGGUCGCAAGACUG